rnacentral:rRNA from 1 species
UACGUAGGGUGCGAGCGUUGUCCGGAAUUAUUGGGCGUAAAGAGCUCGUAGGCGGUCUGUCGCGUCGAAUGUGAAAACCCGGGGCUCAACUCCGGGCUUGCAUUCGAUACGGGCAGACUAGAGUUCGGUAGGGGAGACUGGAAUUCCUGGUGUAGCGGUGAAAUGCGCAGAUAUCAGGGGGAACACCGGUGGCGAAGGCGGGUCUCUGGGCCGAUACUGACGCUGAGGAGCGAAAGCGUGGGGAGCAAACAGG